GGUUCUCGGGGUCUCGAAUUUCUCGCUGCACCAAUUAAGUCUAUGCACUUAGUCGCUGCCAGAAGCCGCGGAGGCACGACGUGUAAGGCUGCAUUCCAAGACCUCGCGCCGAUAGCAUUUACCGACUGGACCACGAUCAAGAAUUUCAUCCAGGGCGGUACACAGGCGGCAGUGGCACCUGGGCGUCCUUUUCCUUUCCCUCCCUCCCUCGGGUGCCAGAAAGCAUCGUUCGCCAGAGGUCCCCAUCAGCAGGAGCUGCGACUCGCACAGCAGUACGUCAGGAGGUCCUCAGCCACUCACCUGCGUCGUGGCCCUCACCUGAGCUUUCUCCCUCCGCCGCCACCUGCCUCAUCCUGUCACGUCAGCCGCCACAUAAAUCUCCCAUGAUAAUGAUGGAUGGAUAUCCGAGGGCCAUCUGAUGGGAGGCUGACGAACUAUACCGACAACAGUGAGUGGUCUUGUUGCGCGAAACUGCCGCUAAACUUGGUGCCUGCCGAUCCUCAGCGGGGCCUCGCCGGGGCUGGACUACGCGAUCUCGGGCGGCCGUGAGCACCAAGUCAAGUGGGAAUCAUCGAAACACAGAAAAGACCGAUUGUGAGGCGAGAAGGCAGGAACCGAGUAGCGCCCGCAGUUGGAUUCCCGGACAGCGAUGACGAGCAGCAGACGAACUUGCAGAAUAAAUCCCUCGCGGAUGGCAGACACCAAAAGGAGACUUGUGAGAAGAACCUCCAGCAGGAGUUGUGUGAGGGACGCCCUCCCCCGGAGCUGUAAGAGAGACACCCCCAAGCAGAGUUGCGUGAGAGACGCCCGCACCAGAAGUUGUGUGUGAGGAGCCCC